rnacentral:misc_RNA from 1 species
AAAGUCGUAACAAGGAUUUCCGUAGGUGAACCUGCGGAAGGAUCAUUAUUAGUACUUACGGGCUUCGGCCCAGCCUGGAUUGGCGUAGGAUUCCAUGUGCCUUGCUGGAAAAAAAGGGUUGCACUACCUUUGGGCGGUUGCAUACCCAAUGGCUAGGCCUUGGACUCGAAAAAAAUCUACCUCCGACUUUACUGUCUGAAUCUUUUGUUGUUCAUCUGAACUCCAAUAUGAAUUAUUUAAACACUUUUUAACAACGGAUCUCUUGGCUCUC